GACGAACGCUGGCGGCGUGCUUAACACAUGCAAGUCGAACGGAAAGGCCCUGCUUUUGUGGGGUGCUCGAGUGGCGAACGGGUGAGUAACACGUGAGUAACCUGCCCCUGACUUUGGGAUAACUUCAGGAAACUGGGGCUAAUACCGGAUAGGAGCUCCUGCUGCAUGGUGGGGGUUGGAAAGUUUCGGCGGUUGGGGAUGGACUCGCAGCUUAUCCGCUUGUUGGUGGGGUAGUGGCUUACCAAGGCUUUGACGGGUAGCCGGCCUGAGAGGGUGACCGGCCACAUUGGGACUGAGGUACGGCCCAGACGGCUACGGGAGGCAGCAGUGGGGAAUAUUGCACAAUGGGGGGAAGCCUGAUGCAGCAACGCCGCGUGCGGGAUGACGGCCUUCGGGUUGUAAACCGCUUUGGCCUGUAACGAGGCGUGAGUGACGGUAAUGGGUAAGGAAGCACCGGCUAACUACGUG
rnacentral:rRNA from 1 species